GCAAGUCGAACGAUGAUUACUAGCUUGCUAGUAUGAUUAGUGGCGGACGGGUGAGUAAUAUAUAGGGAUCUGCCUGUUAGUGGGGGACAACAGCCGGAAACGGCUGCUAAUACCGCAUACGCUCUACGGAGGAAAGUGGGGGACCCUCGGGCCUCACGCUAACAGAUGAACCUAUAUCAGAUUAGCUAGAUGGUGGGGUAAAGGCCUACCAUGGCGACGAUCUGUAGCUGGUUUGAGAGAAUGAUCAGCCACACUGGGACUGAGACACGGCCCAGACCCCUACGGGAGGCAGCAGUGGGGAAUAUUGGACAAUGGGCGCAAGCCUGAUCCAGCAAUGCCGCGUGUGUGAAGAAGGCCUUCGGGUUGUAAAGCACUUUAAGUUGGGAGGAAAAGCUUGGGGUUAAUAGCCUUAAGUGUUGACGUUACCAACAGAAUAAGCACCGGCUAACUCCGUGCCAGCAGCCGCGGUAAUACGGAGGGUGCAAGCGUUAAUCGGAAUUACUGGGCGUAAAGCGCGCGUAGGCGGUUUGUUAAGUCAGAUGUGAAAUCCCCGGGCUCAACCUGGGAAUGGCAUUUGAGACUGGCAGGCUAGAGUAUGGUAGAGGUGAGUGGAAUUUCAGGUGUAGCGGUGAAAUGCGUAGAGAUCUGAAGGAACAUCAGUGGCGAAGGCGACUCACUGGGCCAUUACUGACGCUGAGGUGCGAAAGCGUGGGUAGCAAACAGGAUUAGAUACCCUGGUAGUCCACGCCCUAAACGAUGUCAACUAGGUGUAUGGAGAAUUUAUUCUCUGUGUAUCGAAGCUAACGCGAUAAGUUGACCGCCUGGGGAGUACGGUCGCAAGACUAAAACUCAAAUGAAUUGACGGGGGGCCCGCACAAGCGGUGGAGCAUGUGGUUUAAUUCGAUGCAACGCGAAGAAACCUUACCUGGGCCUUGACAUGUACGGAAAGGCUUUAGAGAUAGAGCUGUGCCUUUCGGGAACCGUAACACAAGUGCUGCAUGGCUGUCGUCAGCU
rnacentral:rRNA from 1 species